CCUACGGGGGGCAGCAGUGGGGAAUAUUGGACAAUGGGGGGAACCCUGAUCCAGCCAUGCCGCGUGUGUGAAGAAGGCCCUCGGGUUGUAAAGCACUUUCAGUGAGGAAGAACGCCUGGUGGUUAAUACCCAUCAGGAAAGACAUCACUCACAGAAGAAGCACCGGCUAACUCCGUGCCAGCAGCCGCGGUAAUACGGAGGGUGCGAGCGUUAAUCGGAAUUACUGGGCGUAAAGCGCGCGUAGGUGGCUUGAUAAGCCGGUUGUGAAAGCCCCGGGCUCAACCUGGGAACGGCAUCCGGAACUGUCCAUCUAGAGUGCAGGAGAGGAAGGUAGAAUUCCCGGUGUAGCGGUGAAAUGCGUAGAGAUCGGGAGGAAUACCAGUGGCGAAGGCGGCCUUCUGGACUGACACUGACACUGAGGUGCGAAAGCGUGGGUAGCAAACAGGAUUAGAUACCCCUGUAGUC
rnacentral:rRNA from 1 species